UGGGGAAUAUUGCACAAUGGGCGCAAGCCUGAUGCAGCCAUGCCGCGUGUGUGAAGAAGGCCUUCGGGUUGUAAAGCACUUUCAGCGAGGAGGAAGGUGGUGGACUUAAUACGUUCAUCAAUUGACGUUACUCGCAGAAGAAGCACCGGCUAACUCCGUGCCAGCAGCCGCGGUAAUACGGAGGGUGCAAGCGUUAAUCGGAAUUACUGGGCGUAAAGCGCACGCAGGCGGUUUGUUAAGUCAGAUGUGAAAUCCCCGGGCUCAACCUGGGAACUGCAUUUGAAACUGGCAAGCUAGAGUCUCGUAGAGGGGGGUAGAAUUCCAGGUGUAGCGGUGAAAUGCGUAGAGAUCUGGAGGAAUACCGGUGGCGAAGGCGGCCCCCUGGACGAAGACUGACGCUCAGGUGCGAAAAGCGUGGGGAGCAAAACAGGAUUAGAUACCCUGGUAGUCCACGCUGUAAAACGAUGUCGAUUUGGAGGUUGUGCCCUUGAGGCGUGGCUUCCGGAGCUAACGCGUUAAAUCGACCGCCUGGGGAGUACGGCCGCAAGGUUAAAACU
rnacentral:rRNA from 1 species